rnacentral:rRNA from 1 species
AUACGGAGGGUGCAAGCGUUACUCGGAAUCACUGGGCGUAAAGCGCGCGCAGGCGGCUAUUUAAGUUGGAUGUGAAAGCCUACGGCUCAACCGUAGAACUGCAUCCAAAACUAUUUAGCUAGAGUGUGCGAGAGGAAGAUGGAAUUAGUUGUGUAGGGGUAAAUCCGUAGAGAUAACUAGGAAUACCAAAAGCGAAGGCAAUCUUCUGGAACACUACUGACGCUGAGGCGCGAAAGCGUGGGGAGCAAACGGGAUUAGAAACCCUAGUAGUCC